GUGCUUUACUCGGAUUUUUAUGCUGUCACACAUGAUACAGUGGUUAUGUGGCGCUUGUUAUAAGUGAAGCUAUAUAAAUAUGUUCUCCUCGCUAUCCAGUGGUGCUUCUGAUGGCUCAUUUGGACGUUGGUGAACUACAUAC